UACAGAGGGUGCAAGCGUUAAUCGGAAUUACUGGGCGUAAAGCGUGCGUAGACGGUUAUGUAAGUCGGGUGUGAAAGCCCCGGGCUCAACCUGGGAAUUGCAUUCGAGACUGCAUAGCUAGGGUGCGGAAGAGGGAAGCGGAAUUUCCGGUGUAGCGGUGAAAUGCGUAGAUAUCGGAAGGAACACCAGUGGCGAAAGCGGGUUCCUGGUCCAGCACCGACGUUCAGGCACGAAAGCGUGGGGAGCAAACAGG
rnacentral:rRNA from 1 species